ensembl:lncRNA
CCCUCCCCUCAUAUCAAUACAAUACAUCUAUGUACAUCUCUACUUAUCACCAAUAUGCAGCCAGAAAUAUAUCAAGUGCAUUGAGAGAAAGGUAAGAAAAAAAGGAGAACAUUUAUUAAGGGAUAUGUAAAUAUUCACACAACUGAGGUUUUUUGUUUCAUGAAAAGCCUUCCUCUGAAGAUCGGAAAGUCAAUAUUGAACACUAGUUUGGUUGACGUUAUGUAUUUAUCUCUGACCAAGAUCGUUUAUGUGGGGGCGGAUACGGGCUUUUCAGGAAUUAAGUCACUGGAUAUGGAGAGAGGUAUUUGCUGGCUAUGGCUCGGGCUCCCUGCCGCCAUCUAGUGGCCACACAAAUAACACGCAGUUACAAAAAUGCCAAUGUGUUAUGGUAUAUUCCUAACAGGGCAAAUCUUAGGAAGAGUUAGAUUGUCUGCGUUUCCGAUCAUUUUUGUGUACUACAAAUAUUACUGGAUGCUUAACGUUGAGACUGAAUUUCUUCCUCAUCAUACAAUGAAUUUGGGCGAAUCAGUGACAACGAAGACAGCACAAAGAUAGAAUAAAGAAUCAGCCUUCUGUGCUGCCCCCUAGUGGUGCACGUUUGACAAAAGCCCCGAUGGCGCACGAUGCACAUUGACUUCGGUCUAGAAAUAAGUGAAGCUUAGCAAAAACAUCCUCAACUGAGGACUAUUCAGCUAUUCAGUAUCAAUGACUACACAUACAAAAAAGGAACAAUUCACCUAUCAUUGUGUAUGCAACCAAUGAUACCAACUGCCACCUCUUAAUCCAACCAGAACAAUAACUUAAGUACUUUAGAAUCUCGAUGAUUGUCUUAAAUCGUCCUUCAUUUUGUAUCACAAUCAUAUUUGGGUGGUGCAUUAUAAAAACCAAAAAAUCAAAUCAUGGGCCCAACUGAAUGUGGAUCUUCAGUUGGGGAAGGGGGAGGAAGGGAGAGAGAGGUGUACUCAGAGGAAAGAGGUAGGGGGAGGAAGGGAGAGAGAGGUGCACUCAGAGGGGAGAGAGAGAGGGAGGAAGGGAGAGAGAGAGAGAGAAAGAGAGAGAGAGAGAGAGAGAGAGAGAGAGAGAGAG